CAGUCUCCGGGGUCUUCAUCCAGCCUGAGCACCGUGCAUGGAGCCUGGCCUGAAGUGCUCCAGCUCAGAGGAGGAGGAGGGAGAGGCAGGCACCUUCUGUCCAACAGGAAGAAGGAACCCAAGACUGAAGACCCACAGCUAAAGAUGAUGAAACUAAGACUAAGAGAAGUUCACCAACUUGUCCAAGGCCACAACUCACAGUGGAAUCUGAACUCGGCUCCAUAUGACUCGAGUCCCACGAUCUUUUCAUGUUCCCUGCUACCUCUCCCUCUCAGCCUGCUACAGUGAUGGGACAUUUAUGAACUUGCAAAAUGCUUUCUUACAAAUUAUCUUAUUUGAUUUUCACAAACAUGUGUGAGGCAGGUAUAAGUUCUGUUCUAUGGAUGAACAAUUAGUCUUCAGGUAAAGAACAACUUGUCCAAGGUCAAAUAGCUGAUAAGUAUCUGGGAACUGGGACCUAAAUACACAUUUUAUGAGUAACUUUGCCACAAUAUCUUAUCUGGACACUUGAAAACAUACUCCAGCCCUGUCAUAAACCCAGGAGAAUUUGAAGAUGUCCCUCCCUACUUACAGCCUGGUUUCAUGAUCACUAGAAACUUGUUUAACUAAACUCCUUUCUGUUCUCAGGAUGGCUCAGGGGACUGAGCUGGAAAAAAAAAAGGCCUCAGAAGGGAAAUGGAGGCCCAGAAAGCUUUGGUGAGCAGCUCGAGAUUACAUAGGACAUGGAGACCAGAACUCAUGUUUCCUCAAAUAGUUCAUUUCCAGGGGGCUUUUAGGCUAUUACUUCUAUAAUCUGCCCUCUGUCUGCCUCAGGGACUCUCCCCUCCAACCCCCAUUUGGACCAUGAACUGAUGCCAAUGGCACCAAGGAAGCAUCAACUGAUACUGGGCAGAAGGGCAGGGCAGUGGCCCCUGGGAGUCUUCAUGGCUCCUCUGGCAGAAAGUACCUGGAGGCAUCAGCUCAUGGACCUGGAGCAUAUCAGCAAGGAACAGAGAUAAACUGUACCGCAUCACCACCCUGGCACUACUCAUGAGAAACUUUCCCAACCAUUAUGCUUGGUUGACUUGGCCGGGAAGGAGUUAACACACAACAUGUGAGGAGUACACUGAGUAGGGAGCUGUGUUCUUGGGUGACCUGUGGGUAUCUGGGCCCAUUUAAUGCACCAAGUCUUCAAAUAGUGGCAGCCAUCACAGGCUCUCCUGUCUGCUUGUGCAUGCACACGGGGAUCCUUCACUUGGUGGCUUCUCCCCAAGCAAACAUUUUUAGCCCAUCCUGGUUUCUCCUCACUGCCCUCUCUACCCUGGGAAAUGCAAUCCACAUUGUCCAAGUCAGACCUAAUUAGACCAGCAAAUCGGUGGCACUCAAGUCAUCACAGCACACUCCAAGCACAAGAGGAAAUGCUGUGUAGGUUAUCCUGUGCGCUGCUUGUUGUGUCUGUUUGUGUUUCCUUGGAUUAUCCAUUCUCUGCUCCCUGCCUUCCAUUACCUCACUAAUGGAGAGGCAGGAUGCAGUCCUCCACAGGCCAGCAUUCAUCUUCCCAGUCUGACCCUCUCGGAGGCUAUUACGCUGCUGUCGCAAGAUCGACGAGGGGAGAAAAAUGAAAACAGUGCACAGGGAACAAUGGAGGGCAAAUGGGACUCUUUUAGAACCGGAUCCACUGAUACGUCAGGCCAAGGAGAAAUGACCACAAGCUGUGAAAAGUGGAGAGCUCCCCCAGACAGCAAAGCCAGAUAAGUGAAAUGAGGCUCAACGAGAGACUGAGACACGUCCAGGGUCAUAGAGCUGGGAAGCAGAAGCCACAGGAUUCUAACCCAGAUGGAUCCAACUUUCAAGAAAAUGCUCUCUUCAGCACAUCAGGCUGCUUCCCACAAAUGCACAACAGAUUGCAGCAUCAAGAGUGACCGAAAGAGACAGAAGCAGCAAAGUUGUAUGCAGGAAGACUGCAGCCACACAGUAAAUCUGAGGCUUCCCACUGCCUUGCCCUGGGGAAAUUGUUCUGAGGUUGGCUAAGCUUUGCCGAAGAAAAGUGGAGAGGGGUCUGGCCCCUGCUCCUCUCAGCCCCUGUGAUUGCUAGGCGGGUUCUCCCCCUCCCUGCUUUCCCCCACUACCCAAGUGAUCUGGCAUUUCAUUUAGGGCUGCCCUGCUUGGUUCUUUGAGUGUGUGAGAGGCCUAGAAGCAGCAAGGAUCUGUCCUUGGAUACUCUACUCCCACCCCUCUCCCCACAGGACCAAGUGACUCCUGGGCCCAGGUACCCUUUUGUUCUCAGGGCCCAGGAAACAGAUAGGAGAGUGGUGGAAAACAUGAGUGGUCUGACCUGCCACGUUUGAAUGCGGCUGUCAGCCCCCCAUGCCUGCCCAAAUCUGCCUGACAGGUGAGCAGCUGUGCACAUCUGUCUGUCCAUCUGUCUCCCUCUCAGGGGCCUGCAGAGAGCCAAUACUCCUCAGGGAGGGGAGGCCCUGGACCUGAAGCAGCUUCCUUACUUUGGAUGUUACUCAGCAGGGACUAGGAAGGGUGGGGCAGGAUAAGUGUGCCUCUGUCCCCAUCCAAAAUCUGACCCCCUCCUGCCACCAACUGCCAAGUCCGCCUCACUGCCUCCCCUCCCCUCCUCACUACUCUCCCAGCUCUUCCUGCCAAGCUCUGCAAAUUACCACACAUGCCAAUAAGUCAUUAGAAACCAGAACGGCAAAUGUGAGGUUGCCAUGGAGACCAACACCGGGGAGCUGACAGCCCUGGGGGCCGGCCGGUGGCUCAGGUGUGUUUCAGGGAGAGCUGGGAAGGUCAAAAUGCCUGGCAGAGGGUAUACGCACUACUGGGGCACUGAUUUUAGGCAAGGCUCUGCCUCUCCUGCUUUUCCUCUCCCUUCCCUCCCACAGCCCUGGGUCCUGCCCACCUGCAGCUUGUUAUGGGUGAUAAAUGCUGCAUAAGCUUCACGAGGGCAGGUGCAGCCUGGGCCAGUGGACUGGGUCCUCUCCUUUCCCAGAGCUGUGUCUCCACUCAGAGCAGGUGACUGUGAGAAAGCCCACCUGGUGACCAGUUCCAGGACAAAGAACACAGACAGAUCUGAGCAACCUGGGCUGGCUGUGGAUGUUUGGAGAAAGCUGAGGCCCAGGAAGGGGCUGAGGUCAGGACUGGAACUCAGAGCUGCUCAUCUUCCUGCGCCAGUGCUCACGUCGCCUCUGCCCAGUUCUUAGCACAGUGCUUGGGCCUUUAUAUGCACACGUUUGUUGAAAAUGUAAAAAUAUACACAUACAAUUGUUGU